GAGAAAUAUUUCAUGGUCUGAACAUUACUUAUAUAAAAUAAGCUAGUACACUGAGUUAAUGUUUUUUGUCUCUACCUAAAUCAUAUUCUAAAUUAUCUGAAAAUUAAGCCUUGUGAUUGUUUUUACAUUUGUAUUUUUAACAGUUUGGAUUGCAAGAGCCUCUAAUAUUUUUAAUCCCUAUUUCCUUGAGAAGACGCUCAAUAAAGAUACCUGAGAUGGAAACAGAUACCGAAGAAGAGUCCAAAUCUCUCCACAUGUUGAUCCAUCUCACUCAUCAUGCUCUCUAUAUCACAUCCAAAAUGAAGAACUCUUCUGCAGAGAUCACUUCAGGAAAUCUUCUAGAAAGAAAAUAAAAUCAAGUACACACAAGAAGAGACUACCAGAAAGAUAUGUGCUCUGUUCUCAGUCUAGUGAAAAGUGAUAAAAAAAGAUGUAGAUCUGCAGUUUCCGACAGGACAGCUUAUUCACACCAAGCUGAAGGAAAGUUAGGUUUGUACUGUGGGUGCUUUGGAUGGACAUGGACUCUGGGAGGAUUCCAUUACAAACAUACAAUCAAACAAGCAAAAGUAUAGCUAUUUCCACUGGAAUUCUUGAGAUGCAGUUCUGGGGAGAAGGUUAUAUUACAUGAAUGCGGCUUUUACACAGACACUGUUUUAGAAGUGUGGUUCAAAGACCUGCCAUGUGGAAACAAAUACAAGCAGAGCUCAACUACUGAUGGGUGCUAAAGGAUGAAAUAAGGUGAGCGGAGCCUGAAAUUCAGGACACAUUCCAGUGUGUUACUUGGAUUCAUGUCACUGUUUGUUUUUUUUUAAUUUCUUGCUUCAUUCUGAUCCUCAAUGAAGCAUUGGUAGGUCUUGUCAGACUCUGGAAUAUUAAGCAAGAAACCCAGUGUUGGUAGAAGGACUUUUUUUGUAGAGAAGUUCAGUUGAAAAGCAACAGACAAACAAAAGUUGAAAUCGAGAAAUUAGGAAUAACUCAUGUAGCAAAAAAAAAAAGAGUUAAGACUUUAAAAACACUACGAUUUUCACAUUGGUUUCAUAAUGAAGAUAGCGAUUUUGAUAAUUUGUCUGCCUUAUCCCUGUAAAUGUUUAUAUCAACUGAGAAAAAAAAUAGAUACCUCAGAGAUGUGGUGUUCAGACAAGUUUCAUGAAAAUCAGUCACUGAAUACAUGGGAAGACUCAAAAGAAGGCUCUCCUGACAGAAGGGCUGAAGCCUGAGUUCACCAUUGUUUCUUUUUUAGCUAGAGGGCAACCAGAGUGCACAUACAGGCUGGGUAGCCAGCACGCUCAGUUUGACACUAGCCACAGCAUGUUGCAGAUGCCUUUACCAGGACUUAACAUAGGGCAAAAGGAUCUGGGAUUUCAGUAUAAGAUGUGACAAAAGAGAAGAGAAUUAGAGACAUUUCAGGGAGAUAUAAUAUGCAGUGCGGGCAAAAGUUUGUGGAAAUGGGUUUUUACUACCUGUGUUGUUUGAGGAAUGACUUACCGAACGUGUAUGAAAAAGCUGUAGAGGGGGGUUUAUGGCAUCAGCAGUGAUAAUAUGAUAAACUAUGAUAAUCAUUAAAAAACCUACACUAUUUUUCCAGUGUGAUGGAGGGAAAAGUCUUUUUUUCUUCCUCUCUGAAAAAAUCACAUUUUUUUUCCAAUAAUAUCAUACAAUAGAUUAAAAAAGAAUGUUUCAAUUACAUAAAACUAGUAUACAC
ensembl:lncRNA